AACGAACGCUGGCGGCAGGCCUAACACAUGCAAGUCGAGCGAGAACUUCGGUUCUAGCGGCAGACGGGUGAGUAACGCGUGGGAAUCUACCCAUCCCUACGGAACAACUCCGGGAAACUGGAGCUAAUACCGUAUACGCCCUACGGGGGAAAGAUUUAUCGGGGAUGGAUGAGCCCGCGUUGGAUUAGGUAGUUGGUGGGGUAAUGGCCUACCAAGCCGACGAUCCAUAGCUGGUUUGAGAGGAUGAUCAGCAACACUGGGACUGAGACACGGCCCAGACUCCUACGGGAGGCAGCAGUGGGGAAUCUUAGACAAUGGGGGCAACCCUGAUCUAGCCAUGCCGCGUGAGUGAUGAAGGCCUUAGGGUUGUAAAGCUCUUUCAGCUGGGAAGAUAAUGACGGUACCAGCAGAAGAAGCCCCGGCUAACUCCGUGCCAGCAGCCGCAGUAACAC
rnacentral:rRNA from 1 species